rnacentral:lncRNA from 1 species
CCAAUAGCGAAUGAGGGAGGCUUUGGGGCUGAAUGGGUUUAUGCGUUGGCGGGUGGCUAGAGAAACCUGCAUUUGUGGAAGAAAAGUUACAGAGCAUGGAAAUGAAAGAAAACAGAGCAAUGCAAUGUGGUAGUUUUAUUAUUGUUAUGUUGUUGUUAUGCAAUUUAUAGAGGUAAAACUGUAUGUGUUUGUUCUUACAUGGAAAGAUGAGAGCGACAAGAAGAAGCAGCAGAAGAAGUGGAUGUUCAUUUUGAAGGUGUGAGAGCGUGUUGCGUGGGCAGUGGAGAGAAACUAGACAGUGAUAUAGAAGAAGAAAAAGAGAGGGGCCAUUGAUCGCUUGGAGCCGGGGAACAAUAAAUUUGUGGUCUCCCCAGACAUAGUUUGCUUUUCUCUGCGCGAACAUGGUAUCAAUGACUAGGUACGAUGCUUUUUCUUUCUUUCUUUCUUUUCUUUUUUUUUUAUCUUAUGCAGUGCCUCUGAAGAUAAGUAUGGGUAAGUUUAUACUUUAUUAUAUUUGGUUGUCUUUUCUGCUAUUGCUCCUUAGAUAGUUAAUAAGCGUGGCCUCGUUUGAGUUGCAGGUGAAGGUGUUAUGUUGCACUAGAUAGUUAGUGGACCACAUAUGCUUCUUCUAGCACAGUGAUGCACGAUGAGUUUAUAGUAUAGUAAUGGUCAAGUGGAUGAUGAGAAUAGGAACUGAUUUUUUUAUUUUAAACAUUUUUAUCGAAUGGAUUAGGUAAAGUUAAACUUACAGAUAGAUUAAGACAAUUAGUCCAAGUGUGGGACUCUGUUCCCAGGUUCUGUAGAUGCUUCCCUUUUGACUUUAGCUG